GGCGUGUGUGCCGUGUCGUGUUUGUCAUCCUUCCAGAGAGCUGCGUCUACCAUUCACUUGGCCGGACGUACGCGAUCUGGAUCGAUUACUUUGAAAAAAUUAGAGUGUUUAAAGCAGGCUUACGCUGUGAAUACAUUAGCAUGGAAUAAUAAUUUAGGACUUCGGUUCUAUUUUGUUGGUUUCUAGGACUGAAGUAAUGAUUGAUAGGGACAGUUGGGGGUGCUAGUAUUCCGCGGCCAGAGGUGAAAUUCUUGGAUUCGCGGAAGACUAACUACUGCGAAAGCAUUCACCAAGGAUGUCUUCUUUAAUCAAGAACGAAAGUUGGGGGAUCGAAGACGAUCAGAUACCGUCGUAGUCUCAACCAUAAACUAUACCGACUAAGGAUCAGUGAACGUUGAUUUACGACUUCAUUGGCACUUUGUGAGAAAUCAAAGUCUUUGGGUUCCGGGGGGAGUAUGGUCGCAAGGCUGAAACUUAAAGGAAUUGACGGAAGGACACCACCAGGAGUGGAACCUGCGGCUUAAUUUGACUCAACACGGGAAAACUUACCAGGUCCAGACACAGGAAGGAUUGACAGAUUGAAGCUCUUUCUUGAUUCUGUGGGGAGUGGUGCAUGGCCGUUCUUAGUUGGUGGAUUGAUCUGUCUGGUUUAUUCCGAUAACGAACGAGACCUUAGUCUGCUAAAUAGUGUUGCGAACCACCUAACGGGUGAAUCCAGGGAGGUACUGGGGCUUCG
rnacentral:rRNA from 1 species